CGCGUAGGCGGCGCAUUAAGUGAGAAGUGAAAGCCCACGGCUUAACCGUGGAAUUGCUUCUCAUACUGGUGUGCUAGAGUAUGGGAGAGGAAAGUGGAAUUCCCGGUGUAGCGGUGAAAUGCGUAGAGAUCGGGAGGAACACCAGUGGCGAAGGCGACUUUCUGGACCAUUACUGACGCUGAUGCGCGAAAGCGUGGGUAGCAAACA
rnacentral:rRNA from 1 species